UACGAACUGUGCGAACGUUCUUCGGCCUCACUUUUCUUAAAUUUUUCUUAGGCGGCGCAGCAAGUAGGGUGUGAAAUCCCUCGGCUCAACCGAGGAACUGCGCCCUAAACUACUGUGCUCGAGGGAGAUAGAGGUGAGCGGAACUUAGGGUGGAGCGGUGAAAUGCGUUGAUAUCCUAAGGAACACCGGUGGCGAAAGCGGCUCACUGGAUCUCUUCUGACGCUGAGGCACGAAAGCUAGGGUAGCGAACGGG
rnacentral:rRNA from 1 species